GCUUACGGCCAUACCAGCCUGGGUACGCCCGAUCUCGUCUGAUCUCGGAAGCUAAGCAGGGUCGGGCCUUGUUAGUACUUGGAUGGGAGACCGCCUGGGAAUACCAGGUGCUGUAAGCA
rnacentral:rRNA from 1 species